rnacentral:rRNA from 1 species
AUUGAACGCUGGCGGCAGGCCUAACACAUGCAAGUCGAGCGCGAGGCGGAGGGGUGUGUAAAGUAUGGGGGUCUGCCCGUUAGGGGGGGGGAACAACUGUGAACGCUGGCUCAUAUAGCAUACUCUAGCAUGAACGCAUAUGGGAUUUGCUCGUAGGUAUGGUAAUGGCUUACCAAGGCGACGAUCCCUAGCUGGUCUGAGAGGAUGAUCAGCCACACUGGAACUGAGACACGGCCCAGACUCCUACGGGAGGCAGCAGUGGGGAAUAUUGCACAAUGGGCGCAAGCCUGAUGCAGCCAUGCCGCGUGUAUGAAGAAGGCCCUAGGGUUGUAAAGUACUUUCAGCCGGGAGGCGUUACCGACAGAAGAAGCACCGGCUAACUCCGUGCCAGCAGCCGCGGUAAUAC